rnacentral:lncRNA from 1 species
CUAACAAUCAUGGAAAGAUAGUACACAUUCUGCCUUCAAUCAUCUUUAUACUGAAUGGGACAAAAGCUUUUUAUUGUAUAAUAAAGAUGGUAUGGCUCGGGUUUGCAUUAACCCAUAAGCUUGUCACUUGUCUAAAAAGAAAAAUUAUAGUAAAUAGUAAUAGUUAGUCUAAUGUUGAAAUAUUACUAUUUGCUUACCGAAGUUGAGAAAAACUUUGAAGAGAGAUGAUUUGAUUUUUUGUCCACAAAAACAUUGCCUUGAUUAGUGUAGAAGAGAAUAUGAUAAAAGUAACCAAGUGUUUCCUUAUAUUCUUAGGCCCUGUUUGGGGGAGCUUUUGGAGGGCCAAAAAGCACUUUCUGGCCCUCCAAAAGUACUUUUAGCUAAAAAAUGGUGUUUGGUAAAUUUUUUGAAAAGCUGUUUCAGCUUUUGCGGGAAGCUGAAAUCAGCUUUUGGAAGGAAGCUCCAAUUUGGAGCUUUCCGAAAAUGCUGUUUUCAGCUUUUUCGGAAAGCUGUAUUUUUGACCAAAAUACCCCAUGUAAAAAAAAAUUCCUCC